CCUCAGUUCAAGAGAAACACUCUGAAACAUCAGCAUGCUGCCAACGAACCUGUUGAUUGUGUCGAUGGUCGUCUUUCUGGCAACAACUGUUUUUACGGCUCCUGUCGAGGAGAAGGAGCAGGAGCAGGAGCGGGAGGAGGUGGAGGUGG